AUGGUGAGGAUCGGGAAAGCCCCGGAGGAAAGGGAGAUGAACCCAAAUAGGAAAUCAGCUCUUGAAUUGUCUCUCCGUGCUUAUGCGGAUAAGAAGGAUGGCCCUGUUCUCUGUCCAAGUAUUGGAACAAGCUUUGACUCUAUUGACGAGGCUUAUGAGUUCUACAAUCUUUAUUCAUGGGAAUGUGGUUUUGGAGUUAGGCCCGCGAAAAGUAGACUGAGUGUCGACAGGAAGAGAUGCAUGCAAGAGAUCAUGUGUGCGUGUGUGGGCAAACCAGUCAGGGAGAACAGCCGCUCGUCCAGGUGUGUGGCUGCAACGCCAUGA
rnacentral:rRNA from 1 species